rnacentral:tRNA from 1 species
UCCCUGCCGGCUCAGAGGUUAAAGCGUCUGCCUGCAAUGCAGGAGACCCGGCUUCGAUCCCUGAGUUGGGAA